CGAUGUCUAGGGGUUCUGAGAGGAUGAUCCCCCACACUGGUACUGAGACACGGACCAGACUCCUACGGGAGGCAGCAGUGAGGAAUAUUGGUCAAUGGGCGCAAGCCUGAACCAGCCAUGCCGCGUGAAGGAUGAAUGCCCUAUGGGUUGUAAACUUCUUUUGUAUGGGAAGAAACCUUCUAACGUGUCAGAAGCUGACGGUACUGUACGAAUAAGCAUCGGCUAACUCUGUGCCAGCAGCCGCGGUAAUACGGAGGAUGCAAGCGUUAUCCGGAUUUAUUGGGUUUAAAGGGUGCGUAGGCGGAUCAUUAAGUCAGUGGUGAAAUCUUUCGGCUUAACUGGAAAAUUGCCAUUGAUACUGAUGAUCUUGAAUGCAGUUGAGGUAGGCGGAAUGUGUAAUGUAGCGGUGAAAUGCUUAGAUAUGACACAGAACGCCGAUUGCGAAGGCAGCUUACUAAGCCAUUACUGACGCUGAGGCACGAAAGCGUGGGGAUCGAACAGGAUUAGAUACCCUGGUAGUCCACGCCGUAAACGAUGAUCACUCGCUGUUUGCGAUAUACAGCAAGCGGCUGAGCGAAAGCAUUAAGUAAUCCACCUGGGGAGUACGGUCGCAAGACUGAAACUCAAAGGAAUUGACGGGGGCCCGCACAAGCGGUGGAGUAUGUGGUUUAAUUACGCGAAGAACCUUACCAAGGCUUGACAUCCCGUGACAGCCAUGGAAACAUGGUCUUGCAAGUUUACUUGCACACGGAGACAGGUGGUGCAUGGUUGUCGUCAGCUCGUGUCGUGAGAUGUUGGGUUAAGUCCCGCAACGAGCGCAACCCCUACAGCUAGUUGCCAGCACAUAAAGGUGGGAACUCUAGCAGAACUGCCGUUGACAAAACGGAGGAAGGUGGGGAUGACGUCAAAUCAGCACGGCCCUUAUGUCCAGGGCUACACACGUGUUACAAUGGCCGAUACAAAGGGCAGCUACCAGGUGACUGGAUGCUAAUCUCUAAAGUCGGUCUCAGUUCGGAUCGAAGUCUGCAACUCGACUUCGUGAAGUUGGAUUCGCUAGUAAUCGCGCAUCAGCCAUGGCGCGGUGAAUACGUUCCCGGGCCUUGUACACACCGCCCGUCAAGCCAUGGAAGCUGGGGGUGCCUGAAGUCCGUAACCGCAAGGAGCGGCCUAGGGUAAAACUAGUAACUGGGGCUAAGUCGUAACAAGGUAACCA
rnacentral:rRNA from 1 species